rnacentral:sRNA from 1 species
ACCUAGCCGUGAUGGGAGCGGCAUCCUUCUUUUUCUCGUCGCUAGACGAGAUAAAAAAGAUAAAGCGGACAGCGCGUACGGUG